AACUGUUUCUGGCGGCGAUGUAGUUGAUAGGAAUUUUCGAGGUUAGAAUCUCGAAUAAUUAAAAUAGUGACUCGGUAAGGUUUGGGAAGCUUUUGUUAUUGGGUCGGAGAGUUGAUUCUUAAAAACACCGGUCGGAAUUUAAUGCUUAUACUCUUUGAAAGUUCAAGCGUACACAUUAUACUGGCUCAAAAAAAAAACUAUUUUUUUUUUCGAUCUCCAGCUUCAUGAAAUCAUAGUUUAUAACAUAAUAUUAGACCUCGUGAAAGGAAAUCGCCGUGCGAUUUUUUUAAGCGGUGACGCAUCGAGAUUUUGUAAUUCCCAUUUGAUUAACACGUAAGAAAUCCAAUUCUGACGGUUGGAGGGAGAUAAUAAUUUUUCUAUGCAACGAACGGAACUCUACAUAGUAGCGCUUGACAGUUUAUAUGUUUUCUUCGAAUCCCCGUGUCGGAGAAAUUUUUUAAUCGCACGAUCUUCGAGUGAUUCAACAUUGCGUAAAACGUGGUUUUUCGCCUUUUCGAAAAAUGGGUACCUAGGAUAAACUCCCAGGUUCCUCGACUGGCUCACAUUAAAAUGUUGAAUAAUAUCCGUCAAAUACAUUCGAAGAAAACAUAUAAACUGUCAAGCGCUACUAUAUAGAGUUCCGUUCGUUGCAUAGAAAAAUUAUUAUCUCUCUCCAACCGUCAGAAUUGGAUUUCUUACGUGUUAAUCAAAUGGGAAUUACAAAAUCUCGAUGCGGCACCUCUU